rnacentral:rRNA from 1 species
UACGGAGGGUGCGAGCGUUGUCCGGAAUCACUGGGCGUAAAGGGCGCGUAGGCGGCGCGGGCAGUCAACGGUGAAAGCUUGGGGCUCAACCCCGAGUCGGCCGUCGAUACUCCCGGGCUGGAGCACUGUAGAGGCAGGUGGAAUUCCGGGUGUAGCGGUGGAAUGCGUAGAGAUCCGGAAGAACACCGGUGGCGAAGGCGGCCUGCUGGGCAGUAGCUGACGCUGAUGCGCGACAGCGUGGGGAGCGAACAGG